CCUCAAGCGCUCCAGAGUACUCCGUAAUGUCAAAGUGAAAAUGUUACAAAUUAAUACAAAUUACAUAACUAAAAUAUAGAAAUUCAAUAAGUAUUCACCCCCUUUGAUUGGGCAAGCCUAAAUUAGUUUGGAAGUAAAAUGUGGCUUAAGAAAUCACUUAAGUUAUGUGGACUCACUCUGUGUGAGAGUGGGAGGUUGUAGAUAGAGGUUGAUAUUAUUUUUUAAUGACUACCCCUUCCCCUGUCCCCAUACAGUACAUACAGCAUCUGUAAGGUCACUCAGUCAAGUAUUUCAAGCACGGAUUCAACUACAAAGACCAGGGAGCUUUUCGAAAGCCUCAUAAUGAAGGGCAGUGAUUGGUAGAUGGGUAACAAUAACGAAUCGGACAUUGAAUAUAUCUUAGUCAAGUUAAUAAUUAUGCUGUGGAUGAUGUAUUAAAUCACCCAAACACAUCAAAGAUGCAGUCAUCCUUCUGAACUGAGCUGCAGGACAGGAAGGAAACUGCUUAGGAAUGUCACCAUGAGGCCAUUGGGAAUUUGAAAACAGCUCCAGAGCUUAGGGGCUGUCAUGGGAGAAAACGGAGGAUGGCUCAACAACAUUGUAUUGACCCCACAAUAACCUAAAUGACAGAGUGAAAAGAGGAAUACAAAUAAUAAAUAUACAUUCAUAUACAGUAUAUGUAUGGACAAAAGGCACUAAAAUAAUACUGUAAAAAAAACAACUAAAUCAUGGCAAAGGAAUACACUUUUCUGGCCUAAAUGCAAAGCCUUAUGUUUGGGGCAAAUCCAACACAUCACUGAGUAAAUGCCUCCUUAUCUUCAAGCUUGGUGUGGGUGUGUUUGACAUUGGCAAAGACGGGGUGUUUUUCAGGAUGAAAAAAAGCAGGAUGGAGCUAAGCACAAUCCUAGAGGAAAACCUGCUUCGGCAGAACAAUAACCUACAACACAAAGCCAAAUCUACCAAGAAGAUAGUGAAGAGGCCACCUCCUUGCUGCUCUUCCAAAUGUCAUCAUCCUGCCACACAUAGGAACCCACUCCGUUGAGACGACGCAGAUAAUGGUGGAGAAGAUGGUGACUAACGCCCUGGCAGUACUAGGAGGGAACCAUCCUCCCGAUGAGGUCAAGGUGUAGGUCAGAGAAGUUUCCUCUAGGUACAGAUCUAGGAUCAGUUUCUAUUCCCCCAAUCCUAACCUGAACCAUUAGUGGGCAAAAUGCAAAAUUUAAAACCAAAAUCGGCAUCUAGGGGCAACUUCACCCUAUUCCUCAGGAAUCACCCUGGACCCUCCAUGCCAGUUUUAACUAGCUGCCAUGCCUUAGAGCAGGGGUGUCAAACAUACGGCCCCGCACACGAGGGGGUCCAAUCCGGCCCAUGGGUGGUUUGAGUAGCCUCAAAUAUUUAGGAAACAUUCAUACAGUAUCUUGACUGUGUCCAGCUCGCUAAUAAUCCCUGAAAUUAGAGCUACACAGUCAGGGAACAAAUUUCUAAAAUGAUGGAUAAAGGACUAUUUUUUUUCUCACAUUUUGACAGCAAGGUAAUACAACACUUUCAGUGCGGCCCUUCGGGGUCCUCGGGGUGCCCCCCUUCCAGCAUUGGGGAACAUCCCGCGCCAUGUCUAUUUCUAUGGGCACAAGCAAUGUUCAUGACACAAACUGUUCACACCCCUCUUGUUGGUGGAGAGAAUUUUGCAGGUUUAAAUUUAUUUCCUGCAAUUCAACACAUUUUGUCAUGGGGUGCAAAUAAAAUGUUGCAGUUUUAAACCAAAAUAUUCUUGCAAUUCCAUACAUUUUGCCAUGUCUAAUGUGUAUACAUGUGAUAUUUGUGUGACUAAAAGAUGACCACAAUAUCUAUGGGCUAGAAAAACAAAAAAUAAAAAAAAUGUUAGCUGACAUGGGCUAGUUGAUCUGGACAUUUCUGACCAGUUAUAUAUACAUAGCUCUCUAAGGUCUGCAAUCACACAUGACAAGAGGAACUGAUGAUGCACCACACAAUUUCACAAUUGCACCUUGUGCAUUCCACUAUUACAACUUUCAAAAGUAAGUUUAAAGCCAGACUGAAUUCCUUCAAAAAAUAACUAAUAAUAAUAAUAAUAAUAAUAAUUGGGGGGGACCCCUCCCCGGGGGGGGACCCCUCCCCCUGCCGACCUCUCAGUUUGGGAACCAUUGCUGUAGAAGACCUGCCUUAGAGGGUCCUAACUUCCACCAUCACUGAUCUAGCAGAAUGUGGAAGGAAGGAGGACGAUGGGGUAAAUCUAUCCAGUGGGGAUGAAGGAAAGGAGAGGAGGAAAAUGAGAUAUUUAGUAUUGAGACUUAGCCACCACAAUGCAGCAGUGUCACUGAUCAGAGAAGUCUUCACCAUCCACAUUAAUAAGCACCUAAUCAUAGCUCCGUCCUGGAAAAUUCUAUAGAAGUUAUGACACUAUAGAUAAUAGAAUGUUGGAUAGAAAUGGAAUAUAUUGCUUCUGAAUGGUGAAUAUGUCUUCUCAGACAGUACAUGGAAAUGUACUGUAACUUAUAUCACUUCAUAUUGACUGUUGAUUUAACUCAUUAUAACCACUGAUUAUAAAGUUUUAGAGCAUUAUGCACACUGUAUUUCUAACUGCAAAAUAAACAACUUGACACAC